rnacentral:rRNA from 1 species
GCCAGACUCCUACGGGAGGCAGCAGUGAGGAAUAUUGGUCAAUGGCCGGAAGGCUGAACCAGCCAAGUCGCGUGAGGGAAUAAGGCCCUAUGGGUCGUAAACCUCUUUUGUCAGGGAGCAAAGGCGUCCACGCGUGGACGAGAGGAGAGUACCUGAAGAAAAAGCAUCGGCUAACUCCGUGCCAGCAGCCGCGGUAAUACGGAGGAUGCGAGCGUUAUCCGGAUUUAUUGGGUUUAAAGGGUGCGUAGGCGGAGUGUCAAGUCAGCGGUAAAAUUUCGGGGCUCAACCCCGUCGUGCCGUUGAAACUGCAUCCCUUGAGUGCGCGAGAAGUAUGCGGAAUGCGUGGUGUAGCGGUGAAAUGCAUAGAUAUCACGCAGAACCCCGAUUGCGAAGGCAGCAUACCGGCGCCCUACUGACGCUGAGGCACGAAAGCGUGGGUAUCGAACAGGAUUAGAUACCCGAGUACG